GAUGAACGCUGGCGGCGUGCCUAAUACAUGCAAGUCGAGCGAACGGACGAGAAGCUUGCUUUUCUGAUGUUAGCGGCGGACGGGUGAGUAACACGUGGAUAACCUACCUAUAAGACUGGGAUAACUUCGGGAAACCGGAGCUAAUACCGGAUAAUAUUUUGAACCGCAUGGUUCAAAAGUGAAAGACGGUCUUGCUGUCACUUAUAGAUGGAUCCGCGCUGCAUUAGCUAGUUGGUAAGGUAACGGCUUACCAAGGCAACGAUGCAUAGCCGACCUGAGAGGGUGAUCGGCGACACUGGAACUGAGACACGGUCCAGACGCCUACGGGAGGCAGCAGUAGGGAAUCUUCGGCAAUGGGCGAAAGCCUGACGGAGCAACGCCGCGUGAGUGAUGAAGGUCUUCGGAUCGUAAAACUCUGUUAUUGGGGAAGAACAGAUGUGUAAGUAACUGUGGACAUCUUGACGGUACCUAAUCAGAAAGCCACGGCUAACUACGUG
rnacentral:rRNA from 1 species